UAAUACGUAGGGUGCGAGCGUUAAUCGGAAUUACUGGGCGUAAAGCGUGCGCAGGCGGUUUUGUAAGACGGAUGUGAAAUCCCCGGGCUUAACCUGGGAACUGCAUUCGUGACUGCAAGGCUAGAGUGUGUCAGAGGGAGGUGGAAUUCCGCGUGUAGCAGUGAAAUGCGUAGAGAUGCGGAGGAACACCGAUGGCGAAGGCAGCCUCCUGGGAUAACACUGACGCUCAUGCACGAAAGCGUGGGGAGCAAACAGG
rnacentral:rRNA from 1 species